rnacentral:lncRNA from 1 species
AUGGUGCCACAACCCUUUUUUUUUGUUUUUAUUUUUGUUGCACAUGAUUUCAAAUCAAAUGGUGUUUUUAACAUGCUAUUUCUAAGCUCUGCUUGUGACUGGGUCUCCCCUUUAUACAUACAAAUCUUGUGCUGUUUUUCUCCUCUCUCUUUCUCCUUCUCCUCUUCUCCCCAGGUUUUUGUCUUUCUGCCGAUGUUUACUUCAGUCCUUCUUUCACAAAAUCGAAUACUCCAGGUUUUGCUUAACCUCAGAUGACUGGUACAUGGAGAAAGCAAAUUUUGAAAGAAAUUAUGUUCUUCAUACAAGCCUCCACCUCAUCUAAUUUUGUACCAAAUGCUCAUGCUUUUAAAAUGCAGUGGUUGCUUUCAAAAUUCACUUAAUGCUGCUAAAUUACUGCUAAUACUGUGUACUAAAAAUAAAGCAUACCAGAUGUUGAUUCA